GUGGAUUAGCAGGACAGCAAUUUGCAGAUGGGGUGACUCAGAUUCACCAUUUCUAAGACCUCUGAUCUCUCUCUCUUCUUGGUGUGAGAAGUCAUGAGAACUUGUACCUCCAAUCUAUCUAGCUAGUUGUGGCAGGAGAGGAAGGUGUGUGUUGAGCAAGAUGGAGAAGCAGGGCACGUGCAUUACUAACUCAUGAGCGCACGCACCACUGAACAUACACAUGAUAUUUCAUGGCUGGAGUUAUAUAUAUACAUGAUAUAUGAAUCUUACCUAGCUGUAGUAUUCACAGAUCAUGGUUCUCGAUCGCUAGCUAGUUCGUGUGAGUUAGUUCUUCAUGUGCCCGUCUUCACCAUCAUGACCACAGCACCUUAUAUAUGUUUGUUGGCGUCAAGAGCCAAGAAUACUAUUCCAGAUCGAAAAGCAUCCUCCCUCCAAGAAUUGCUGAGAAACUCAGAUAUUUGCAGAAGCUUCAAGUUCCGGGCACGGAUUGAAUAUGGGGAAUAUCGUUUUUAUAUUAAUGGGUGAUUCUUCAACAAGGUCAUGGCCGUGGUGGAUAACCAUUGACUGGAUGUUAUUAAGAUAUGGUGUCAUUCAUCACAGAACCCGAAUCUUUUAAGAAAUGAUGAAGGGUACUGUUAAUUGACCAUCUAGCAUAGUAAAAUAUUUGCAAAAUCUUACCAUCGCGGCUAUAUAUAAACUGUAUAUCAGUUUUACAGGAAAUGCUGACUGUAUCUGAGCAAUCGAAAUCAAUGCUACAUGAUUGACAGCAAAGUAACCUAAAGAAGGGAACAAGAUGAAGGGAAGAGCAGAGUACUGUAGGUUGGAGGGGAAUCAUUUAAAUCUAUCAUAUAUAUAUAUAUUUAGAUUAAUUUCUAAGUUACUUUUUUUAUUUUAUUUUAUUUUAUUUUAAUUUAUUUUUUUUAUUGGAAGAGGCCGAAGGUUUCGAAUUCCAAACCUUCCAUUAUAGAGGCUGUGAGUUAUGCCAAUCAGGCUAUAUGCCUUUAGUAGGUUACUAAUUUCUUUUAUUAGUUACUAUAUAUAUAUAUAUAUAUUUGUGAUUACCUGUGAUUGAUGAGAAAAUAUGACAUGAUGUUGUUGAUUUCAUAUGUAUUAAAGCUGAAUUGAAAGAAUCUUAAUGAACGCUUAAAUGUAUAUCCCUGUAAAUCCUUGGUUAGGAAGAAAAUCUUCGAAGUUUUAUUUCCUUUGAGAUUUACACUUAUGUUAUCUUUUGUAUGUGUGAGAAUUAUUCUUAUUGAUCA